rnacentral:rRNA from 1 species
UCCUACGGGGCGCAGCAGUGAGGAAUAUUGGUCAAUGGGCUUACGCCUGAACCAGCCAAGUCGCGUGAGGGAAGACCGCCCUAUGGAUUGUAAACCUCUUUUGUCAGGGAGCAAUUGGCGCUACGUGUAGCGUUAUCGAGAGUACCUGAAGAAAAAGCAUCGGCUAACUCCGUGCCAGCAGCCGCGGUAAUACGUAGGUGGCGAGCGUUGUCCGGAAUUACUGGGUGUAAAGGGAGUGUAGGCGGGGAAGCAAGUCAGAAGUGAAAACUAUGGGCUUAACCCAUAGCCUGCUUUUGAAACUGUUU